CCCUUAGAUCUUCUGGGCCGCACGCGUGCUACACUGAGUGGAUCAGCGGGUCAGGUUGCGCGAAAGCGUUUCCUAAUCUUUAAAUCCGCUCGUGAUGGGGAUUGACGGUUGCAAUUUUCUGUCAUGAACGAGGAAUACCUUGUAAGCGCGGGUCAUCAUCCCGCGCUGAAUACGUCCCUGCCCUUUGUACACACCGCCCGUCGCUCCUACCGAUUGAGUGGUCCGGUGAGGCUUUGGGAUCUGAGCGGAAAGAGCGUUUCGCUGUUUCUGCUCGGAAAACUCAGUCGAACCUUAUCAUUUAGAGGAAGGAGAAGUCGUAACA
rnacentral:rRNA from 1 species